UACGGGGGAGGCAAGCGUUGUUCGGAAUUACUGGGCGUAAAGGGCUCGUAGGUGGUCAACUAAGUCGGACGUGAAAUCCCUCGGCUUAACCGGGGAACUGCGUCCGAUACUGGAUGACUUGAGUUCGGGAGAGGGAUGCGGAAUUCCAGGUGUAGCGGUGAAAUGCGUAGAUAUCUGGAGGAACACCGGUGGCGAAGGCGGCAUCCUGGACCGACACUGACGCUGAGGAGCGAAAGCCAGGGGAGCAAACGGG
rnacentral:rRNA from 1 species